GUCCACGCCGUAAACGAUGGAUACUAGCUGUUGGGAGCAAUCUCAGUGGCUAAGCGAAAGUGAUAAGUAUCCCACCUGGGGAGUACGUUCGCAAGAAUGAAACUCAAAGGAAUUGACGGGGCCCGCCACAAGCGGUGGAGCAUGUGGUUUAAUUCGAUGAUACGCGAGGAACCUUACCAAGGCUUAAAUAGUAGUUUGACCGUUUGGUAAACAGAACUUUCGUCAAGACAAAUUAACAAGGUGCUGCAUGGUUGUCGU
rnacentral:rRNA from 1 species